rnacentral:sRNA from 1 species
UGCUUGCUAGGUUGCGCGAAGGUUGUU